rnacentral:rRNA from 1 species
CCUACGGGAGGCAGCAGUAGGGAAUCUUCCACAAUGGGCGAAAGCCUGAUGGAGCAACGCCGCGUGAGUGAUGAAGGCCUUCGGGUUGUAAAACUCUGUCAUUCGGGACGAACCGGAGUCUGAGGAAAUGCAGACUCUCUGACGGUACCGGAGGAGGAAGCCCCGGCUAACUACGUGCCAGCAGCCGCGGUAAUACGUAGGGGGCAAGCGUUGUCCGGAUUCACUGGGCGUAAAGCGCGCGCAGGCGGUGAUGUAAGUCUGAGGUGAAAACCCGAAGCUCAACUUCGGGACUGCCUUGGAUACUGCGUCACUUGAGGAUAGGAGAGGCAAGGGGAAUUCCACGUGUAGCGGUGAAAUGCGUAGAGAUGUGGAGGAACACCUGUGGCGAAGGCGCCUUGCUGGCCUAUUUCUGACGCUGAGGCGCGAAAGCGUGGGGAGCAAACAGGAUUAGAUACCCUGGUAGUCCACGCUGUAAACGAUGAGUGCUAGGUGUAGGUGGGCUCAUACCCAUCUGUGCCGAAGCUAACGCAUUAAGCNCNCCGCCGNGGGAGGUACGGUCGCGACGACGUAGAACGUACGAAAGGAAGUUAGACGGCGNGAGACGNGCGACGGACGACACGAGGGAGGUUAGG